CCUACGGGAGGCUGCAGUGGGGAAUAUUGGACAAUGGGCGAAAGCCUGAUCCAGCCAUGCCGCGUGUGUGAAGAAGGCCUUCGGGUUGUAAAGCACUUUCAGUGGGGAAGAAAGCCUUGGGGCUAAUACCCUCGAGGAAGGACAUCACCCACAGAAGAAGCACCGGCUAACUCCGUGCCAGCAGCCGCGGUAAUACGGAGGGUGCGAGCGUUAAUCGGAAUUACUGGGCGUAAAGCGCGCGUAGGCGGUCUGAUAAGCCGGUUGUGAAAGCCCCGGGCUCAACCUGGGAACGGCAUCCGGAACUGUCAGGCUAGAGUGCAGGAGAGGAAGGUAGAAUUCCCGGUGUAGCGGUGAAAUGCGUAGAGAUCGGGAGGAAUACCAGUGGCGAAGGCGGCCUUCUGGACUGACACUGACGCUGAGGUGCGAAGGCGUGGGUAGCAAACAGGAUUAGAUACCCUAGUAGUC
rnacentral:rRNA from 1 species